CCUACGGGAGGCAGCAGUAGGGAAUCUUGCGCAAUGGGCGAAAGCCUGACGCAGCCAUGCCGCGUGAAUGAUGAAGGUCUUAGGAUUGUAAAAUUCUUUCACCGGGGACGAUAAUGACGGUACCCGGAGAAGAAGCCCCGGCUAACUUCGUGCCAGCAGCCGCGGUAAUACGAAGGGGGCUAGCGUUGCUCGGAAUUACUGGGCGUAAAGGGCGCGUAGGCGGAUAGUUUAGUCAGAGGUAAAAGCCCAGGGCUCAACCUUGGAACUGCCUUUGAUACUGGCUAUCUUGAGUACGGGAGAGGUGUGUGGAACUCCGAGUGUAGAGGUGAAAUUCGUAGAUAUUCGGAAGAACACCAGUGGCGAAGGCGACACACUGGCCCGUUACUGACGCUGAGGCGCGAAAGCGUGGGGAGCAAACAGGAUUAGAUACCCUGGUAGUCCACGCCGUAAACGAUGAGUGCUAGUUGUCGGCAUGCAUGCAUGUCGGUGACGCAGCUAACGCAUUAAGCACUCCGCCUGGGGAGUACGGUCGCAAGAUUAAAAACUCAAAAUGAAUAGACGGCGUGAGACGUCGCCGAACGGACGACACGAAGGGAAGGUUAAGG
rnacentral:rRNA from 1 species